rnacentral:rRNA from 1 species
UACGGAGGGUGCAAGCGUUAUCCGGAUUCACUGGGUUUAAAGGGUGCGUAGGAGGGCGGAUAAGUCAGUGGUGAAAUCUUCGAGCUUAACUCGGAAACUGCCGUUGAUACUAUUUGUCUUGAAUAUCGUGGAGGUGAGCGGAAUAUGUCAUGUAGCGGUGAAAUGCUUAGAUAUGACAUAGAACACCAAAUUGCGAAGGCAGCUCGCUACACGAAUAUUGACUCUGAGGCACGAAAGCGUGGGGGAUCAAACAGGAUUAGAACUA